rnacentral:rRNA from 1 species
UACAGAGGUCUCAAGCGUUGUUCGGAUUCAUUGGGCGUAAAGGGUGCGUAGGCGGCGCGGUAAGUCGGGUGUGAAAUCUCGGAGCUUAACUCCGAAACUGCAUUCGAUACUGCCGUGCUUGAGGACUGGAGAGGAGACUGGAAUUUACGGUGUAGCGGUGAAAUGCGUAGAUAUCGUAAGGAAGACCAGUGGCGAAGGCGGGGUCUCUGGACAGUUCCUGACACUGAGACACGAAGGCCAGGGGAGCAAACGGG